rnacentral:rRNA from 1 species
AGUGGCGGACGGGUGAGUAACGCGUAAGAAUCUAACUUCAGGACGGGGACAACAGUUGGAAACGACUGCUAAUACCCGAUGUGCCGCAAGGUGAAACCUAAUUGGCCUGAAGAAGAGCUUGCGUCUGAUUAGCUAGUUGGUGGGGUAAAGGCCUACCAAGGCGACGAUCAGUUGCUGGUCUGAGAGGAUGAGCAGCCACACUGGGACUGAGACACGGCCCAGACUCCUACGGGAGGCAGCAGUGGGGAAUUUUCCGCAAUGGGCGAAAGCCUGACGGAGCAACGCCGCGUGAGGGAGGAAGGUCUUUGGAUUGUAAACCUCUUUUCUCAAGGAAGAAGUUCUGACGGUACUUGAGGAAUCAGCCUCGGCUAACUCCGUGCCAGCAGCCGCGGUAAUACGGGGGAGGCAAGCGUUAUCCGGAAUUAUUGGGCGUAAAGCGUCCGCAGGUGGUCAGCCAAGUCUGCCGUCAAAUCAGGUUGCUUAACGACCUAAAGGCGGUGGAAACUGGCAGACUAGAGAGCAGUAGGGGUAGCAGGAAUUCCCAGUGUAGCGGUGAAAUGCGUAGAGAUUGGGAAGAACAUCGGUGGCGAAAGCGUGCUACUGGGCUGUAUCUGACACUCAGGGACGAAAGCUAGGGGAGCGAAAGGGAUUAGAUACCCCUGUAGUCCUAGCCGUAAACGAUGGAUACUAGGCGUGGCUU